GAUGAACGCUGGCGGCGUGCCUAAUACAUGCAAGUCGAGCGAACAGACGAGGAGCUUGCUCCUCUGACGUUAGCGGCGGACGGGUGAGUAACACGUGGAUAACCUACCUAUAAGACUGGGAUAACUUCGGGAAACCGGAGCUAAUACCGGAUAAUAUAUUGAACCGCAUGGUUCAAUAGUGAAAGACGGUUUUGCUGUCACUUAUAGAUGGAUCCGCGCCGCAUUAGCUAGUUGGUAAGGUAACGGCCUACCAAGGCAACGAUGCGUAGCCGACCUGAGAGGGUGAUCGGCCACACGGGAACUGAGACACGGUCCAGACGCCUACGGGAGGCAGCAGUAGGGAAUCUUCCGCAAUGGGCGAAAGCCUGACGGAGCAACGCCGCGUGAGUGAUGAAGGUCUUCGGAUCGGAAAACUCUGUUAUUAGGGAAGAACAAAUGUGUAAGUAACUAUGCACGUCUUGACGGUACCUGAUCAGAAAGCCACGGCUAACUACGUG
rnacentral:rRNA from 1 species